GGUACCUCAGGGGAACCUGGUGGACCUGGACAAAAGGGAGAUAUUGGAUACCCAGGGCCCUAUGGUCUAAAAGGAUCCAGAGGAACUGGUCCAGUGCAAUGUGAUCUGGUCAAGAAAAUUAGGGAUAACUGUCCCUGCUGCUAUGGUGCUCAGGAAUGUCCCCUAUACCCUACUGAGUUGGCCUUU